AAAGGUUUUUAAAAUACCAGAAAAGCAGUGCAGCAGAUAGCUGGAUGGAGGGGCUGAGAGCAGUGGAGGUGAGAUAAUCAGCCAACUGUACAAACCAGAAAGCCAGGAAUGGUUUCCAUUAGAGGCCAUCUGGAUGUAAAUGACUUCAUGUGCAGCUCUGCAUUGAAUGGCACAGCGUCACCAGGGAAAAGCACUAAAACCACAUCCUGUCACAGACAGUCACAGAUCGGAAAUCCUGAGGGUAACAGCUCACCCUAUCAAGUGCCCUGCAGAGCCACUUGGGGUAAAUCAGAUGAAGGACAGAGGAUGGAGGCAUUCUGCACUCGAGUUAAAAUCAAGCCAAGAAAUGAAUCUCUUGUUAGGAAUUUUGCCUGGUGAAUCAUGUUGAACUGAGAGCUGUCUGUGGUGAGCACAGGCAAUAUCCAAUCACUAGCUGUACUUCGCCUCCUCACAGUUACACCCUGCUGUGUGAGGAAAGUGUCUCUCUUCCUCAGAAAACAAGAUCCAAGGUGCAAAACCCAUCAACUGGGGCGUCAUGGAAUAUCUUGGAAAAUUUUAGAGCUAGUAAUUUCCUUCUGCCAGGAAUAAUUUGGUUUAGUCUUUCUUUUUCUAAAUGUCCACAUCAGCAGUGGAAUAGCAAAACAUGAAUUGGACUGCCUAUGGACCGUGAUUUACUGUCACUCUUUCCGACCAGGCUUAGACUACAGGCAGGUACUAACCCAGAAGGCAGAAGUCUGGAGGCCUGAAAGAAUUACAGGACAAAAUACUGGCCCCUCACAGGAACUGAGCAAGACUUGAGUGUCGGAAGUCCAGACAUGUAUUACAUUUAUUCAUUAAACAAUGAUGUACUGAGUGGCUAUGUUGAACCAUUUGCUUCAUCACACAACUGGGACACAUUGGUGGUGGAAUGCACAAGAAUCCUUGUGAAAUGAAGUCUGCACAUUCUAAAAGCAGG
rnacentral:lncRNA from 1 species